UAAUACGUAGGGCGCAAGCGUUGUCCGGAAUUAUUGGGCGUAAAGAGCUCGUAGGCGGCUUGUCACGUCGGGUGUGAAAGCCCGGGGCUUAACCCCGGGUCUGCAUUCGAUACGGGCAGGCUAGAGUGUGGUAGGGGAGAUCGGAAUUCCUGGUGUAGCGGUGAAAUGCGCAGAUAUCAGGAGGAACACCGGUGGCGAAGGCGGAUCUCUGGGCCAUUACUGACGCUGAGGAGCGAAAGCGUGGGGAGCGAACAGGAUUAGAUACCCUGGUAGUCCACGCCGUAAACGGUGGGAACUAGGUGUUGGCGACAUUCCACGUCGUCGGUGCCGCAGCUAACGCAUUAAGUUCCCCGCCUGGGGAGUACGGCCGCAAGGCUAAA
rnacentral:rRNA from 1 species